UACGCGGUUUCAGUCCUCGCUCACUCGUUUCUAUUUUUUUUUUUUUCCGAAAGGUUACGACGCUGUCCUCCUUCCCCACAUAUUAGGUCACUGGAAAAUCCACGGUAGUAAUUGGUGAUGUCAACCGCCGAACACGCGGGGAGGAGAUGUUAAAAGCCAAGAAACUCAUCUCGCGAACUAAUGGAACCAAAAAGGCGGCUAGGCGUUCCCGCCCUUUCAUCUCCUCUAAUCCUCACCUUCACCCUCUGGGUUUCGGAGGAUCUGCUGAUCAAUGCCGAUGGAUGAUAAUGGUCAACGCCGUGAAGUGGGUGGAUGAAGUCAUUCCAGAUGCUCCUUACGCGAUAACGGAAGAAUUCAUGAACAAGCUUUUUGAUGAAUAUAAGAUCGACUACAUAAUUCACGGAGACGACCCCUGCCUUCUCCCUGAUGGAUCCGAUGCGUACGCCCUCGCCAAGAAGGCUGGCCAAUACAAGCAGAUCAAGCGAACUGAAGGAGUUUCAAGCAUGGAGGUUGUUGGCCUGCAAGUUCGACACGGAUAUCACAUUUCCUGCCUACAUCUCGAAGGAUUGUACAAUUCUCCAACGGGGCCAGGGCCAGAUGCACGCAUAGUGCAUAUAGAUGGUGCGUUUGAUCUUUUCCAUGCUGGAAAUGUAGAGGAAUUUGUGUUGCAGUGGGAGCAUACAGAUGAGUUGGGAUAUGAUUUGAAGGAUUUCAUAAUACCCUGGUCCAUGUUGCAUUAUGAAGAGAGCUGUAUGCUUUUGCAGCGCUUGCAAACACUGGAUGUGGAAUGUGGCGUUCUGGUUGCAGUCGAUUUAGAUGCCAGUCGACUGAGAAUGGUCUUGGGUCAUGUAAAUGUUCUUUUGCAGCAUGCAUGAGGUUUGUGGUAUGUAGAGUGCCCCUCAGAUUUGUGUCCAUCCCUUGCAUGCGAUACCGAGAACGUCGAGCCCAGCUGGGGGGUCCAAAGUCGGAGGCUUGGGGCCUGGGGGGUGGUGUAAAAGUCCCAAGUGUAGGAAAGCAUAGGGGUGCCAAAGUGCCAGUAGGUCUUAUUGACGCAAACUCUUAAGUGAUCAUCCCGAUUGACUGGACUGGAAUUCCACGAAGUUCUUCAAAUUUUCAAAUCAAAUCGUGGGCAUUUGAUCGUUAUCAUCAUCGUAUGAUUGUUAAGGGGAGAAAUCGUGAGCUUACGCCUUAUAGGGGGAGGGGAAACUGGAAGGGCAUUGACGAACAAUAGAGGGCGAGUUGAAGUAUAUUCUUGCAGAUCUCAAUGAUAAAAAAAAGGAGUGUGUCUCCGAUCCAGAUCAUGGUAAAAGGGUGAUUAUAAACGUGGCACCUGUCGUUUGUAUGUCCUAACAACGGGUGGCUCCUUUCAAAUACACGCCUGAUUUCAAAUUUGGCAUUGAUUUCAAGUCACAGAAGGUGCAGCAUUGCUUUCAUCGGUGUCCAAUGCCAAUUGUGAACAACGAAAACUAUCGUUCGUGGAUGGUUGGAAGGUGUUGCUGAGUUCUGCCUGUCGACUAAUGAACAUCCUCUCAAUGAAUGGCUUGUUUCCAUUAGGCACUUGCAUUGCUGCUAUCGGUGUAAAUUGACGGACAAAAAUAUAGCUAUAGAAAAGUAUACAAGCAUCAGCUGAACGCACCUGAGGGAGAGCAAAUAACAAUUGUAGUAUAAGUUCGCCGAGCUGGCGCUUAGUUAAAGUAGGAUAUACCGGUGGCAAAACCACCGUUAAACUUCAUAUAAGCGAAAACUAGAGGCGAAGAAACCACUGGUAUGGAU